UACGUAGGGCGCAAGCGUUGUCCGGAAUUAUUGGGCGUAAAGAGCUCGUAGGCGGUCUGUCGCGUCUGUUGUGAAAACUCGAGGCUCAACCUCGGGCUUGCAGUGGAUACGGGCAGACUAGAGUGCGGUAGGGGAGACUGGAAUUCCUGGUGUAGCGGUGGAAUGCGCAGAUAUCAGGAAGAACACCCGUGGCUAAGGCGGCUCUCUAGUACGGUACGUGACGCUGAGACGCGAAAGCGUGGGGAGCGAACAGG
rnacentral:rRNA from 1 species